UAGUGUCAUUAUUUGACAAUAUACUUUUAAUAUGUUUUUGUAUUUUAAAUAUACGCGCCGUAUGAAACGGAAGUCAGCUUUCCGCGAAGCAUUCUACGGUACGCAAUGCGGCAAUAGUUUUAGCGCGCGCGGUAGAAUAGCACGUGAGAAUGCGAGCGAGCUAAUGAGCGGAUGUGAUGUAACGUGUAUGUAAACCUGUUUGUAGUGUACGUAUUGUCUAUUUAUGGAAUGCGAGUGUUGAAUGUUGGGUAGUUUUACCUGGCGCACUGGUCACUUAUGAACAGAGCGGUCAGAGGGACAACAUCGUAUAUUGGUAAUCAUAGCCAGCAUAGAGACGAAAAGAUGUAGCGAACACUAGAGUCAUUAAACCUUAUUAACUGAACGUUAAGACGAGUACAGAGGACUCGGCGGACAUAGUCCGGGAAAACCCUCUUCAUACUGAAGAGGUGGGUAUUUUAAUGUAAUUAAGAUAAAUGAAUGAUAAUUGUAUAAAUAAUGUAAGAGCUGCUAUUUCUAUAUAAUGUAUAGAUUGAUUAAAACAGUUUUAAUGUAUAUAUUCGCCAAUUGUAAUUAAUGUAACUGACUACGGUCAGGGAGAUACUUUGUCUCAUUGUAUAAUUGCGUGAAUUAUCAUUAUGUAUAAAUAUAUGGUAAUAUGAUGUAUUUCAUGUUACAGGGUUUAUUUGUAUAAUAAUAAAUAUUGGAAACAAGAACCCGGAGUUGUAUUAUUGAAGAAAUAAGACGACUAUUACAUUGGCGCCCAUGUAUCGUUGAUGGCCUUGUGUACCCGCUGACACCGCUUGACGGGAUGUUGUACAGAUAUCUACGACCGUGAAAUAUUAUACACCGGACAGGUAAACUCACCCGAG